rnacentral:rRNA from 1 species
CUAAGUUUGAUGGCGACCGGCGCACGGGUGAGUAACACGUAUCCAACCCGCCGAUGACUCGGGGAUAGCCUUUCGAAAGAAAGAUUAAUACCCGAUGGCAUAGUUCUUCCGCAUGGUAGAACUAUUAAAGAAUUUCGGUCAUCGAUGGGGAUGCGUUCCAUUAGGUUGUUGGCGGGGUAACGGCCCACCAAGCCUUCGAUGGAUAGGGGUUCUGAGAGGAAGGUCCCCCACAUUGGAACUGAGACACGGUCCAA